AUGGCUAUGGUUUUAAGGUAUGUCGAUAAACAUGGGUAUGCGAUUGAGAGGUUCAUUGGGAUUAAGCAUGUUGGUGACACAAGGGCAGCUUCUCUAAAAGCAGCUUUGGAUGGUAUGUUUCUUAAACAUGGCUUGUCUAUGUCUAAAUUGAGAGGGCAGCGGUACGAUGGAGCUUCUAACAUGAGAGGACAAUUUCGUGGGUUGCAAAGGUUGAUACUAGAUGAAAAUCCUUAUGCAUUUUAUAUUCAUUGCUUUGCCCAUCAGUUGCAGUUAGUGGUUGUUGCUGUUGUCAAGUGUUGUUCCUCUGUAUUGGAUUUCUUUAACCACAUAACUUUGAUUGUCAACACCGUCAAUGCUUCUUGUAAGAGACAUGAUGAACUAGCCCAAGAACAACAUGAUAAUAUUGUGAGUCAAUUGGAGUCUGGGGAAAUUUUUUCAGGAAGAGGGAAAAACCAAGCAACCAACCUUGUAAGACCUGGAGAUACACGGUGGGGCUCACAUCAUAAAACUUUGUGUCGGUUUAUUGAGAUGUGGACAUCUGUUUUGCAUGUAUUAGAGAACAUUCAUGAUGAUGCAGAAAAUUUAACACAAAGGGGUCGUUCAAUACCCGCUCGGGGUCGUUCAAGGGGGCGUGGUGGUCAAAUGGUAACUUUCUAUCAACGCUUCAGAUAUGAAAUAUUCAAUGUUCUGCUUGACCAAAUAAUUACUGAGUUAAAUAACCGCUUUGCUGAAAGAUCUACUCAAUUGUUGAGAUGCAUUGCUUGUCUUGAUCCAAGGAACUCAUUUGCUAAUUUUGAUGAAGACAAACUUGUUCAACUUGCUCAGAUGUAUGCUAAUGACUUCUCCAUAUAUGAGAUUUCUUUUGUCCUUAGAAACCAACUUGAAAACUUCAUUGCUGAUGUGAGAGCUGAUCCAAGUUUUGUUAGUUGUAAUGACCUUGGUAGUCUUGCUGUGAAGAUGGUCCAAACUGAUAGACACAUAGUCUUUCCUUUGGUAUAUCGUCUUAUUGAGUUGGCAUUGAUUUUGCCUGUUGCAACCGCAUCAGUGGAAAGAGCUUUCUCAGCUAUGAGUAUUAUCAAGACUGAGUUGAGGAAUAAGAUGGGUGAUGAUUGGUUGAAUUAUUCCAUGGUGUGCAAUAUUGAGCGAGAAAUAUUUGCAAAGGUUGAUGAUGAUGCUAUUAUAUAUCGCUUUCAAGACUAUAGAUUUCGCAAAGGAACUUUACCUCGUCGUAGUAGUGUUGGCUCUUCUUCCACCGUUGAUCAAGUUAUGGAAGACACUGAUGAAGGAAACAAUUGA
rnacentral:rRNA from 1 species